rnacentral:rRNA from 13 species
CCACCCUGGCAACUUUGAGGUUCUAACUCUGGUCCGUUAUCCGGAUCGAGGACAGUGUAUGGUGGGUAGUUUGACUGGGGCGGUCUCCUCCUAAAGAGUAACGGAGGAGUACGAAGGUGCGCUCAGCGUGGUCGGAAAUCACGCGUAGAGUAUAAAGGCAAAAGCGCGCUUAACUGCGAGACCCACAAGUCGAGCAGGUACGAAAGUAGGACAUAGUGAUCCGGUGGUUCUGUAUGGAAGGGCCAUCGCUCAACGGAUAAAAGGUACUCCGGGGAUAACAGGCUGAUACCGCCCAAGAGUUCAUAUCGACGGCGGUGUUUGGCACCUCGAUGUCGGCUCAUC